GCCUGUGUGGUGUAGUGGUUUGAGCAUGGGACUACAAAUCUGAAAACCAGGGUUCAAAACCCCUGUCAGCCA